CGGCGGACGGGUGAGUAACGCGUGGGCAACCUGCCUUACACAGGGGGAUAACAGUUAGAAAUGACUGCUAAUACCGCAUAAGACCACAGUACUGCAUGGUACAGUGGUAAAAACUCCGGUGGUGUAAGAUGGGCCCGCGUCUGAUUAGGUAGUUGGCGGGGUAACGGCCCACCAAGCCGACGAUCAGUAGCCGACCUGAGAGGGUGACCGGCCACAUUGGGACUGAGACACGGCCCAGACUCCUACGGAAGGCAGCAG
rnacentral:rRNA from 1 species